CAGCAGCCGCGGUAAUACGUAGGUCCCGAGCGUUGUCCGGAUUUAUUGGGCGUAAAGCGAGCGCAGGCGGUUAGAUAAGUCUGAAGUUAAAGGCUGUGGCUUAACCAUAGUACGCUUUGGAAACUGUUUAACUUGAGUGCAAGAGGGGAGAGUGGAAUUCCAUGUGUAGCGGUGAAAUGCGUGGAUAUAUGGAGGAACACCGGUGGCGAAAGCGGCUUUCUGGCUUGUAACUGACGCUGAGGCUCGAAAGCGUGGGGAGCAAACAGGAUUAGAUACCCGUGUAGUCCCUGUCUCUUAUACC
rnacentral:rRNA from 1 species